GGUAGCAGGAGAAAGCUUGCUUUCUUGCUGACGAGUGGCGGACGGGUGAGUAAUGCUUGGGAAUCUGGCUUAUGGAGGGGGAUAACGACGGGAAACUGUCGCUAAUACCGCGUAUUAUCGGAAGAUGAAAGUGCGGGACUGAGAGGCCGCAUGCCAUAGGAUGAGCCCAAGUGGGAUUAGGUAGUUGGUGGGGUAAAUGCCUACCAAGCCUGCGAUCUCUAGCUGGUCUGAGAGGAUGACCAGCCACACUGGAACUGAGACACGGUCCAGACUCCUACGGGAGGCAGCAGUGGGGAAUAUUGCGCAAUGGGGGGAACCCUGACGCAGCCAUGCCGCGUGAAUGAAGAAGGCCUUCGGGUUGUAAAGUUCUUUCGGUAUUGAGGAAGGUUGAUGUGUUAAUAGCACAUCAAAUUGACGUUAAAUACAGAAGAAGCACCGGCUAACUCCGUGCCAGCAGCCGCGGUAAUACGGAGGGUGCGAGCGUUAAUCGGAAUAACUGGGCGUAAAGGGCACGCAGGCGGUUAUUUAAGUGAGGUGUGAAAGCCCUGGGCUUAACCUAGGAAUUGCAUUUCAGACUGGGUAACUAGAGUACUUUAGGGAGGGGUAGAAUUCCACGUGUAGCGGUGAAAUGCGUAGAGAUGUGGAGGAAUACCGAAGGCGAAGGCAGCCCCUUGGGAAUGUACUGACGCUCAUGUGCGAAAGCGUGUGGAGCAGACAGGAUUAGAUACUCUGGUAGUCCACGCUGUAAACGCUGUCGAUCUGGGGGUUGGGGUUUAACUCUGGCGCCCGUAGCUAACGUGAUACAUCGACCGCCUGGGGAGUACGGCCGCAAGGUUAGAACUCAAAUGAAUUGAC
rnacentral:rRNA from 1 species